UACGUAGGGUGCAAGCGUUGUCCGGAAUCACUGGGCGUAAAGGGCGCGUAGGCGGCGCGGUAAGCGUGCGGUGAAAGCCCGGGGCUCAACCCCGGGUCGGCCGUGCGGACUGCCGGGCUGGAGCACUGUAGAGGCAGGUGGAAUUCCGGGUGUAGCGGUGGAAUGCGUAGAGAUCCGGAGGAACACCAGCGGCGAAGGCGGCAUCCUGGACUGGUCCUGACACUCAUGAGCGAAAGCGUGGGGAGCGAUCCGG
rnacentral:rRNA from 1 species